rnacentral:miRNA from 1 species
AAGUUGUAUUUCUUUUCUGACAGU